GGAGAGGUCAAAGACAACACACGUGUUGAAAACAUUUCGUGCAGUGAAAUGGGCAAAACUACAUGGGCAAAAUACAAACGACACUACAAAUCAGAUUGGGAGCAAGAGCGUUGGUCUCAAGGGUGGCUAACGUCGAUUCAAAAUGCACCAAUGGCAUGCCAAAACACAGUUAACGAUGCCUGGUGCAUUUACUGCAAAGUGUCCUUACGUAGUCAUCGCGACGAUCUAAAAAGACAUUCGACCACAAAAAAACAUUUGAAAAAUAAAUAUAGCCUUCAGUUACCUCGAACACAAACAACGCUGAAAUACGCUAUAAUACCUGAGAAUCAAUAACAGAAGGUGACUGAUAUCAAGAUUGCUAUGUAUGUAGCGAAGCACACCGCUAUAAAUGCUGUGGAUCAUUUGUGUGACCUAGUCCAGCCGUUAGGAAAAGGCAGUGUUUUGGAGAAUUUGCGACUCCAUCGUACCAAAUGCACCAGCAUCAUCAAACACGUAAUUUCACCCUCGAUUUUGAAGGAUCUUGUCGAGAAUAUCGGUAACAAACCAUAUUCCCUCAUUCUCGACGAGUCGACAGAUGUGUCAUGUAUGAAAUUCAUGUGCAUUUGCGUACGUUAUUUCAACAUAACAAAAGGGGCGAU